UAUCAUCUUUGAUGGUUCUUUCAACCGAAAAUGAGAAAAGAAAAAGGUUCAUGGAAGCCAUUAGGGUUCGGCAACUUCAAGCUUUAAUUAGCUUUGUGCUGGUAUUAUAUCCGGGUUUUAUCCCGCAGGCUUCGUGCUGGUAUUAUAUCCGGGUUAAAUCCCGCAGGCUUAGUGCUGGUAUUAUGUUCGAGCUUAAAGUUCCGCAGGUUCUGUGCUGGUGACCGGAUUCGGGUUUUAAACCUAGCAGGCUUAACGCCGGUGAUUCAAGUAAGAUUAUGAAUUUGAAAGUUCGAGGUAAACUACUAUUGAAUAUGUAUGAUACAUUAUGAUAGUCAGGUACGUAUUAUGUACUCGCAUGUGAAUUGAUUUUUAAGGUGAAUUAUUAGUAUCAAAGAACGAUAUAUAUGUGUGAAUGAUUACUAUAUCUACGAAUAAGAGCAUGACCUAUUCGGUCGAUGUCUGUCAUUGUAUGAAAGUAUGUGACCUAAAUUAAUUGUACGAGCUUCCAGAGAUAUCCGAGUAUCCUCUUUGUUUC